rnacentral:rRNA from 1 species
CCUACGGGCGGCAGCAGUGGGGAAUAUUGGACAAUGGGGGGAACCCUGAUCCAGCCAUGCCGCGUGUGUGAAGAAGGCCCUCGGGUUUUAAAGCACUUUCAGUGAGGAAGAACGCCUGGUGGUUAAUACCCAUCAGGAAAGACAUCACUCACAGAAGAAGCACCGGCUAACUCCGUGCCAGCAGCCGCGGUAAUACGGAGGGUGCGAGCGUUAAUCGGAAUUACUGGGCGUAAAGCGCGCGUAGGUGGCUUGAUAAGCCGGUUGUGAAAGCCCCGGGCUCAACCUGGGAACGGCAUCCGGAACUGUCAAGCUAGAGUGCAGGAGAGGAAGGUAGAAUUCCCGGUGUAGCGGUGAAAUGCGUAGAGAUCGGGAGGAAUACCAGUGGCGAAGGCGGCCUUCUGGACUGACACUGACACUGAGGUGCGAAAGCGUGGGUAGCAAACAGGAUUAGAUACCCCGGUAGUC